rnacentral:lncRNA from 1 species
AGGGUGACAUAUUGAGAGAAAAGCGAGUUGCGGGAUGUGUGUAUGUGUAUGCGAUGUCAGAAUCAGACGCAAACACUCUCAUCCUAACUGCACUCUCAUUCCUCACACCUCCACACACACACACAGAGAACCAGGCUGCUGCUGCUGCUGCUAUUGUAGUGUCUAGUACUACCAGUAAGUGCUCCCACUUCUUGUCCUUUUCUGCAUAUCACUCACGUCACGUCCUUUGAUUCCUCUUACCAUUUUAUCUUCUUCCCACACUGCCCUCCUUUUCAAUAAUAUAUCUCUUUUGUCCCCAUCUUUCACACACCAAAAAUACAAAUAAAACAAACCAUCCUUCUCUCACUCUCCUAACACCCCAUUACUAUAAUUAUUUUUCGUUUAUAACAAAACCAACUCACUUCACCUUUAUCAUGUGUCCUAUAUACUUUGCAAUCACCAACACAAAUCCAAAGUGCCCU